UCAGCUGGUUCUAGUAGUGAACACAUCAACAGGUUGACAUAACGGAGGAGAUUCAGCUGGUUCUAGUAGUGAACACAUCAACAGGUUGACAUAACGGAGGAGAUUCAGCUGGUUCUAGUAGUGAACACAUCAACAGGUUGACAUAACGGAGGAGAUUCAGCUGGUUCUAGUAGUGACCACAUCAACAGGUUGACAUAACGGAGGAGAUUCAGCUGGUUCUAGUAGUGAACACAUCAACAGGUUGACAUAACAGAGGAGAUUCAGCUGGUUCUAGUAGUGAACACAUCAACAGGUUGACAUAACGGAGGAGAUUCAGCUGGUUCUAGUGGUGAACACAUCAACAGGUUGACAUAACGGAGGAGAUUCAGCUGGUUCUAGUAGUGAACAGAUCAACAGGUUGACAUAACGGAGGAGAUUCAGCUGGUUCUAGUGGUGAACACAUCAACAGGUUGACAUAACGGAGGAGAUUCAGCUGGUUCUAGUGGUGAACACAUCAACAGGUUGACAUAACGGAGGAGAUUCAGCUGGUUCUAGUGGUGAACACAUCAACAGGUUGACAUAACAGAGGAGAUUCAGCUGGUUCUAGUAGUGAACACAUCAACAGGUUGGCAUAACAGAGGAGAUUCAGCUGGUUCUAGUAGUGAACACAUCAACAGGUUGGCAUAACAGAGGAGAUUCAGCUGGUUCUAGUAGUGAACACAUCAACAGGUUGACAUAACGGAGGAGAUUCAGCUGGUUCUAGUAGUGAACACAUCAACAGGUUGACAUAACAGAGGAGAUUCAGCUGGUUCUAGUAGUGAACACAUCAACA